AGGAGAUUAGUCCAAUACAAGACCUCUGAUUUCGGCUCAGAAGAUUGUGGUUUAAUUCCACGAUCCCCUU
rnacentral:tRNA from 1 species